GUGGAAAAGGAUGUGAAGUCGCAUAGACAACCAGGAUGUUGGCUUAGAAGCAGCCACCAUUAAAAGAGUGCGUAAUAGCUCACUGGUCAAGUGAUUUCGCGCCGACAAUGUAACGGGGCUCAAGCACAUCACCGAAGUUUCAUCAUUCACGCACUACCCCGGUCCGCAAGGAUCCAGGGGCGUGGAUGGGUAGGAGAGCGUCGUGCGCGCAGUGAAGCGGCGGAGGAAUCCAGCCGUGGAGAGCGCACGAGUGAGAAUGCAGGUAUGAGUAGCGAAAGACGGGUGAGAAACCCGUCCACCGAAUGACCAAGGGUUCCUGGGCCAGGCUAAUCCGCCCAGGGUAAGUCGGGUCCUAAGGCGAGGGCGACAGCCGUAGUCGAUGGACAACUGGUUGAUAUUCCAGUACCCGCAAUAAAGCGCCCAUGGCGAACCAACAAUGCUAAGUGGGUGAAGCGGAAGCAAUUCCGUGGAUCGUACGACCCUACGUUGUAGUAGCUAAGCAAUGGUGUGACACAGGAAGGUAGUUCAUCCCAGGCGAUGGUUGUCCUGGGGUAAGGGUGUAGUGAGGGCUAUAGGCAAAUCCGUAGUCCGUAUUCAUGAGACCUGAUGCCGAGCCGAAUGGCGAAGUGAAUGAUCCUAUGCUGUCAAGAAAAGCAUCUAGCGAGCUUUAUGGCGGCCCGUACCCGAAACCGACACAGGUGGUCAGGCAGAGAAUGCCAAGGUGAUCGAGAGAAUCAUAGUUAAGGAACUCGGCAAAAUGCCCCCGUAACUUCGGGAGAAGGGGGGCCAAAGCGGGUGUAGGAGUUUUCCUCCGAAGCCUGCGGUGGCCGCAGAGAGUAGGCCCAAGCGACUGUUUACCAAAAACACAGGUCCGUGCGAAGUUGUAAGACGAUGUAUACGGACUGACGCCUGCCCGGUGCUGGAAGGUCAAGGGGACUGGUUAGCUAGUAAUAGCGAAGCUGAGAACUUAAGCCCCAGUAAACGGCGGUGGUAACUAUAACCAUCCUAAGGUAGCGAAAUUCCUUGUCGGGUAAGUUCCGACCUGCACGAAUGGCGUAACGAUUUGGGCGCUGUCUCAACUGUGAACUCGGCGAAAUUGCACAACGAGUAAAGAUGCUCGUUACGUGAAGAAAGACGGAAAGACCCCGGGACCUUUACUAUAGUUUGAUAUUGGUACUCGGAACGGCUUGUGUAGGAUAGGUGGGAGACUGUGAAGCGGGCACGCCAGUGUUCGUGGAGUCAACGUUGAAAUACCACUCUGGUCGUUUUGAGUUUCUAACCUCGGUCCAUAUAUCUGGAUCAGGGACAGUGUCUGAUGGGUAGUUUAACUGGGGCGGUUGCCUCCCAAAAAGUAACGGAGGCGCUCAAAGGUUCCCUCAGCCUGGUUGGCAAUCAGGUGUCGAGUGUAAGUGCACAAGGGAGCUUGACUGCGAGACAGACAUGUCGAGCAGGUGCGAAAGCAGGAACUAGUGAUCCGGCGGUGGCUUGUGGAAGCGCCGUCGCUCAACGGAUAAAAGGUACCCCGGGGAUAACAGGCUGAUCUUGCCCAAGAGUCCAU
rnacentral:rRNA from 1 species